AAGUCGUAACAAGGUUUCCGUAGGUGAACCUGCGGAAGGAUCAUUAACACGUUAUCCAUACGUUAACCAAAGAGAAUUGUUUUCACCCUCCCUUCACGGAGAAUGAGCGGGGUUCGUAGAGGUGUUGAAAGUGGAUUGUCUCGACAGUCAGCCUCUAUCUACUAUUUUUGUGGGUAUAGAAAUAUAUCUGCUUUGACGCUGUAUCUUUUAGUGGAGAUUCUUCUCACUCAGAGCUCUCCUUUCAUUGAGAAUUGCUGUGAGAUACUUAUUUUAACUUAUUUAACCCCUUUUUGCUAGUUGACUUUUAUAUGUUGUUCUGUGCUGCUUUUUGGCGUACAGUUCACACGUUUAAUUAUUUGAACGUUAAAAUUACAACUCUUAGCAAUGGAUAUCUUGGUUCUC
rnacentral:misc_RNA from 1 species